rnacentral:rRNA from 1 species
UACGUAGGGUCCGAGCGUUGUCCGGAAUUACUGGGCGUAAAGAGCUCGUAGGUGGUUUGUCGCGUUGUUCGUGAAAACUCACAGCUUAACUGUGGGCGUGCGGGCGAUACGGGCAGACUUGAGUACUGCAGGGGAGACUGGAAUUCCUGGUGUAGCGGUGGAAUGCGCAGAUAUCUGGAGGAACACCGGUGGCGAAGGCGGCAUCCUGGACCAACACUGACGCUGAGGAGCGAAAGCCAGGGGAGCAAACGGG